GAUACAGCGAUGGACGUUCAGAGACGUGC
rnacentral:sRNA from 1 species